rnacentral:misc_RNA from 1 species
GUUUCAAGGUCAAGUUUUAGUCUCUACUUUUCUUUCUUACUUUUUCCGAAAGGGAAGGUUAGGUGGCAAUGGAACAAAACAUUGCUUGAGAAUUUUAUCUUCGGUUCUUUCUUGCUUCUCAGCUUCUCUAUAGAGGUGAGGGGUUAGCAGUUAUUUUCAAACUAGAAGCAAGCGAAAAUCAAUUGGUUAAUUUAGUAGACGGAAUCCCAUGCGAUGGAGAACUAUUUGAAUGAGAACUUCGGGGACGUGAAGCCUAAGAAUUCAUCGGAGGAAGCCUUG